AAAGGUGCUCUAAAAUCAAUGAGGGCCACUUUCGAUGAAUCUCAUAUUGUGAAGUGUGAACAACUCAAAAAUUCAAAGGACUCAAGAGAGAAAGUGAACAAAAUGAACAACAACAAAAGGAAAAAAGCCAAAAAUUCCCUUGUUUAUAUUUGUCUAGACUAUAGAAUGAUCGUACAAACUACAAAGUAAUGAAGUGGUUGGUAGGUCCCAUCCUCCCCACUUGACUUAAAAGUUAAAAGACUUGGGGAAACUUCCACCAAGUACCUCCCCCCAAUAGAGUCGUAAAGAAGUUGGAAACGUGUGACACGGCCAAUUAUGUCUUUCUUUGUCUUCUAGAGAUAAUAAUAUCUGUAAUAUGCUCCAAUUAUUAAAGCAUAAAAUAGCCACCCUUCUAGAUUAUUCAUUAUCACCGCUUUUCCACACUAAAGUAAUCCAUAUAUAUGUUAUCUUCUUUAACUAAUAUAGAACAGAGGCCUGGGUUUUUUCAAACACAUUGCCAGCCUCUGUCUUGUCCUCUGGGCAAUGAAAUAUAUGGCAUCUGAGGUUUAGUUCUACUCAAAUCAAUAAAAAUAUGGGUUUACCUAAGCCACUGCUUCUUCUGCUGUUGCUUACAACAAUUGUUUCUACAUCACAGAAACCAAUAGUUACAGAAGCAAGGCCACUUUCCCAACAAAGAUUUUCAGAGAUUUUCUCGACACUUGGAGUUGCUUGCAAGUGUUGUGAUGGCGAAAAAGGUGAAUGCACGAGUACAUGGACAGGGUCUUGCUCUAAGCUCCAAUGCCUUCCCUGGAAAUUAAACUAGCUUGUUUUACACUGUAAUUUUUGUUUUUUGUGGACGUUGUUGUACAUAGUUCAGUGUUCUGUUUACCAACUAUAUCUAUAUGAUAUGCGUUAAUCGAAUUGGGUUAUUUUA